rnacentral:rRNA from 1 species
AGAGUUUGAUCCUGGCUCAGGAUGAACGCUAGCUACAGGCUUAACACAUGCAAGUCGAGGGGAAACGACAUCGAAAGCUUGCUUUUGAUGGGCGUCGACCGGCGCACGGGUGAGUAACGCGUAUCCAACCUGCCCAUCACUUGGGGAUAACCUUGCGAAAGUAAGACUAAUACCCAAUGACGUCUCUAGAAGACAUCUGAAAGAGAUUAAAGAUUUAUCGGUGAUGGAUGGGGAUGCGUCUGAUUAGCUUGUUGGCGGGGUAACGGCCACCAAGGCGACGAUCAGUAGGGGUCCUGAGAGGAAGGCCCCCACAUUCGGAACUGAGACACGGUCCAAACUCCUACGGGAGGCA